UCCGUAGGCGGGCAAUUAAGUCAGAGGUGAAAUCCCACAGCUCAACUGUGGAACUGCCUUUGAUACUGGUUGUCUUGAGUUACAGUGAAGUAGAUAGAAUAUGUGGUGUAGCGGUGAAAUGCAUAGAUAUUACAUAGAAUACCGAUUGCGAAGGCAGUCUACUAACUGUAUACUGACGCUAAUGGACGAAAGCGUGGGGAGCGAACAGGAUUAGAUACCCUGGUAGUCC
rnacentral:rRNA from 1 species